CGGAGGAAAAGAAACUAACAAGGAUUCCCCUAGUAGCGGCGAGCGAAGCGGGAAGAGCUCAAAUUUAUAAUCUGGCACCUUCGGUGUCCGAGUUGUAAUCUCUAGAAGUGUUUUCCGCGUUGGACCGCACACAAGUCUGUUGGAAUACAGCGGCACAGUGGUGAUACCCCCGUACACGGUGCGGACGCCCAGCGCUUUGUGAUACACUUUCAAAGAGUCGAGUUGUUUGGGAAUGCAGCUCAAAUUGGGUGGUAAAUUCCAUCUAAAGCUAAAUAUUGGCGAGAGACCGAUAGCGAACAAGUACCGUGAGGGAAAGAUGAAAAGCACUUUGGAAAGAGAGUUAACAGUACGUGAAAUUGUUGGAAGGGAAACGCUUGAAGUCAGACUUGCUUGCCGGAGCUUGCUUCGGUUUGCAGGCCAGCAUCAGUUUUUCGGGGUGGAUAAUGGCGGUUUGAAGGUAGCAGUCUCGUGCUGUGUUAUAGCUUUCCGCUGGAUACACCCUGGGGGACUGAGGAACGCAGCGUGCUUUUAGCGAAGGUUUCGACCUUUUCACGCUUAGGAUGCUGGUGGAAUGGCUUUAAACGACCCGUCUUG
rnacentral:rRNA from 1 species